rnacentral:lncRNA from 1 species
AAAAAUUACGAAAUUUAUUUUCUAGAAGUUUCAAAUACUCUAGAUAAUAUUUAACGGUGUGGAUUAUCGAUUCGUAAGCCCCAACAUCGAAAACAACUUAUGAGUACGAAGGGCUCUGUACUCAUAAGAGUAUAGUAGCCCUACUAUAUGUAUAUAUAUAUAUAUAUAGGGAGAGAGAGAGAGAGAGAGAGCUGGAAUACUAUCAAUUCCUUUGAUCAUUUCUAAUAUUUAGAUUAAUACUAUUACUCUGUGGGGACCACUUACUACUCAACCCUAGGAGAGACCAUAAUCAUCCCACCCGUAAAAUUCUUAAUCCAAGGAUAAAAAAAUUGGAAAUACCAAAUCCUCUAUACUUUACUUUCAAUAGCACUAGUUAAACACCCGCGCUUCGCUGCGGAAAAAAAAAUUACAGUAAAUAUACAAUAAUAAUUAAUAAAUAAUAACAAAAAAGUAUUAAAAAAUAGAAAUUAUUUAUAUAUUAGCCCCUUUCUCCUUCACUGCACCGCCAAUCCCGUCGCGCCGUACGCGAAUCCCGGAGAUCGCGAGGUUACAACCAUACCCUGAUCGGAUCCCAGCGAUCCUGUGAAGCCCGCCGAUCCGCCAGAAAUCCGCCCCGUACACAGAUCCCGCGAAUCCCGCACCCCAAAUCUCACCGGCGCACCGUCUCGCUACUCCGCGCCGCUCGCUGAGCCGGAGAUCCCGUAAAUCCCGCCAUCACGUACGCAAAUCCCGGAGAUCACGCCAUUGCCGUACGCAGAUCUCGCGGAUCCGGUCGCAAAUCACACCCCCGUCUUGUCGCCG